rnacentral:rRNA from 1 species
AUUCCGAUUACUCAUCCCCUCUUCUACUAUGCAGGUAACCCAUAGGUAGGAAGCUUAGGGCGCAGCGGAACGGAUAGCGGCCGGUGUAGAUUGGAAGUGGCAUAAGCAUAAGCGGACUAUCUUUUGGAAUGUAUAAUUACAUUCUUUUCAUUUUGACACUAGGCCGUGAGCUCAAACUCUGAUAUUUUGUAUUGUAAUGUUUUGUAAAACGCUUUCUACCUAUUAUUAAUAAAAUGUAUGUUUAUAUUCGUAGUUGUGUGUUAAAUGAUACUAGACCUUGUCCGGGUCGACACAACUCGAUGAUUGAGGUACGGGUUGUGAAGCCUUAGGCCAUGACAUCAAGGUCAUAGCAAACUGGAACGGAUUGGUCGAGAGUCUUGACUUGUUCUUGAUUCUUGGUCGAACAGGUACGGUGAGCUAUACUUGUGGCGCUCCCAGGACGUACCGGGUUAGUCCGGCCUGGUACGGUCCGGGGGUGUUACAGUCGGGGGCAUUCGUAUUUCAUAGUCAAAGGUGAAAUUCUUGGAUUUAUGAAAGGGGAACAACUGCGAAAGCAUUUGCCAAUGAUGUUUUCAUUAAUCAAGAACGAAAGUUGGGGGCUCGAAGACUAUCAGAUACCGUCCUAGUCUCAACCAUAAACGAUGCCGACCAGGGAUCAGCGGAUGUUGCUUUUAGGACUCUGCUGGCACCUUAUGAGAAAUCAAAGUUUUUGGGUUUCGGGGGGAGUGUGGUUGCAAGGCUGAAACUUAAAGGAAUUGACGGAAGCGCACCACCAGGAGUGGAGCCUGCGGCUUAAUUUGACUCAACACGGGGAAACUUACCAGGUCCAGACAUAGUAAGGAUUGACAGACUGAGAGCUCUUUCUUGAUUCUAUGGGUGGUGGUGCAUGGCCGUUCUUAGUUGGUGGAGCGAUUUGUCCGGUUAAUUCUGUUAACGAACGAGACUUCAGCCUGCUAACUAGCUACGUGGAGGCAUCCCUUCACGGCCGGCUUCUUAGAGGGACUAUGGCCGUUUAAAACAAGGAAGUUUGAGGCAAUAACAGGUCUGUGAUGCCCUUAGAUAUUAUGGGCCGCACGCGCGCUACACUGAUGUAUUCAACGAGUUCACACCUUGGCCGACAGGCCCGGGUAAUCUUUGGAAAUUCAUCCUGAUGGGGAUAGAUCAUUGCAAUUGUUGGUCUUCAACGAGGAAUUCCUAGUAAGAGCGAGUCAUCAGCUCGCGUUGACUACGUCCCUGCCCUUUGUACACAACGCCCAUCGCUCCUACCGAUUGACUGAUCCGGUGAAGUGUUCGGAUCGCGGCGACGUGGGUGGUUUGCCAUUAUCGCGACGUCCGGGAAGUACACUAAACCUUUUCAUUUAGAGGAAGGAGAAGUCGUAACAAGGUUUCCAUAGGUGAACCUGCAGAAG